AACGAACGCUGGCGGCGUGCUUAACACAUGCAAGUCGAACGAGAAAGUCCUUCGGGCGGAGUAAAGUAGGCGCAAGGGUGGAGUAACACGUGAACAAUCUACCUUUGUAUACUGGGAGUAACUUGGCAAUACCGGAUAAGACCACGUCUCAUAAGGGAUGCGGUAAAAGGAAAUCUCAACUUCCGAUCAUUGAUGAGUUCGCGGACCAUUAGCUAGUUGGUGAGAUAAAAGCUCACCAAGGCAAUGAUGGUUAGCCGGCCUGAGAGGGUGAACGGCCACACUGGAACUGAGACACGGUCCAGACUCCUACGGGAGGCAGCAGUGGGGAAUUUUGCGCAAUGGGCGAAAGCCUGACGCAGCAACGCCGCGUGAGUGAUG
rnacentral:rRNA from 1 species